GCUCAAAGUUGGAACCUGGCUGCCCUAGGCAGUCCGGAUUGUAAACUAAAGAGCGUGAUUCCAGGCAAGCCGGUUGAUCAAGUCCUUUGGAAUGAGGCGCCACUGAGGGUGAGAGCCCCGUAAGUCGACUGAGCAUUUGUCUUUUGUGUUUCGCGUUCAAAGAGUCAGGUUGUUUGGGAAUGCAGCCUAAAGCUGGUGGUAAAUCCCACCUAAAGCUAAAUACAGGCGAGAGACCGAUAGCGAACAAGUACCGUGAGGGAAAGAUGAAAAGAACUUUGAAAAGAGAGUUAAACAGUAUGUGAAAUUGCCAAGAGGGAAGCAUUUGGAGUUAGAUUGACUAGGAGUUAAUCAGCUUGGUCUUUGGACUGGGUGUACUUGACUUCUAUUGGUCUGCCAAUAGCAGUUAGUCCUAGUGGAAAAAACCAGAGGGAAGGUAGUCCUUCGGGAUGUUUAUAGACCUUUGGAAAAUACACUGGGAUUGACUGAGGAAUGCAGUAGAUGCCACUAAGGCUUCGUCUAGUGGGUGCUAGGCAAAGGUACUUGGUAUUUUCAGCUUGCUGAUGUGCUAGGUUACUCGAGUCUAGUCGCCUACUAGAACUGUAAUCUAC
rnacentral:rRNA from 1 species